GAUGAACGCUAGCGGCAGGCCUAACACAUGCAAGUCGAGGGGUAGCAGGAUUAAGCUUGCUUAAUUGCUGACGACCGGCGCACGGGUGCGUAACGCGUAUGCAACCUACCUUAUACUGGGGUAUAGCCCGGAGAAAUUCGGAUUAAUCCCCCAUAGUACUAAUGAAUCGCAUGGUUUAUUAGUUAAAGCAUUGCGGUAUAAGAUGGGCAUGCGUCCUAUUAGCUAGAUGGUGAGGUAACGGCUCACCAUGGCUACGAUAGGUAGGGGGCCUGAGAGGGUGGUCCCCCACACUGGUACUGAGACACGGACCAGACUCCUACGGGAGGCAGCAGUGAGGAAUAUUGGUCAAUGGGCGCAAGCCUGAACCAGCCAUGCCGCGUGCAGGAAGAAUGCCCUAUGGGUUGUAAACUGCUUUUAUUCGGGAAUAAACCUUAUUACGUGUAAUAAGCUGAAUGUACCGAAGGAAUAAGGAUCGGCUAACUCCGUGCCAGCAGCCGCGGUAA
rnacentral:rRNA from 1 species